rnacentral:rRNA from 1 species
CUGCUGCCUUCCGUAGGAGUUUGGGCCGUGUCUCAGUCCCAAUGUGGCCGUCCACCCUCUCAGGCCGGCUACUGAUCGUCGCCUUGGUGGGCCGUUACCCCGCCAACAAGCUAAUCAGACGCGGGUCCAUCUUACACCACCGGAGUUUUUACACACAAAUCCAUGCGGCUUCGUGCGCUUAUGCGGUAUUAGCACCUAUUUCUAAGUGUUAUCCCCCAGUGUAAGGCAGGUUACCCACGCGUUACUCACCCGUCCGCCACUAAG